GCAACAGUAGAAAAACUACCAGAUUUGAAAUCUGGGGCAUGAGUUCAAAUCCCAUUUUUUGCU
rnacentral:tRNA from 1 species